rnacentral:ncRNA from 2 species
UAACACUAUCUUGAAGUGCGCUCCAGGUUACAUCGACCUGAUAGCGAAAAAAGGGAAUGCCGUGCAAAUCGGCAACGGACCCGCCGCUGUAACCGACGACGAACGUCACUGAAAACCAAUGCAGCAUCGCGCUGUGUGAAGGUGUGACAAGUAGGUUUGAGUCGGAAGUCAGAAGACCUGCUUCAAGAUUUUAUAUAGG